rnacentral:rRNA from 1 species
CCAGACUCCUACGGGAGGCAGCAGUGGGGAAUAUUGCACAAUGGGGGAAACCCUGAUGCAGCGACGCCGCGUGAGUGAAGAAGUAUUUCGGUAUGUAAAGCUCUAUCAGCAGGGAAGAAAAUGACAGUACCUGACCAAGAAGCCCCGGCUAACUACGUGCCAGCAGCCGCGGUAAUACGUAGGGGGCAAGCGUUAUCCGGAUUUACUGGGUGUAAAGGGAGCGUAGACGGUUAUGUAAGUCUGGAGUGAAAGCCCGGGGCCCAACCCCGGGACUGCUCUUGGAACUGCAUGGCUGGAGUACAGGAGGGGCAGGCGGAAUUCCUAGUGUAGCGGUGAAAUGCGUAGAUAUUAGGAGGAACACCGGUGGCGAAGGCGGCCUGCUGGACUGUGACUGACGUUGAGGCCCGAAGGCGUGGGGAGCAAACAGGAUUAGAUACCCGAGUAC